CUCCUUUGACGUUAGCGGCGGACGGGUGAGUAACACGUGGGUAACCUACCUAUAAGACUGGGAUAACUUCGGGAAACCGGAGCUAAUACCGGAUAAUAUUUCGAACCGCAUGGUUCGAUAGUGAAAGGUGGUUUUGCUAUCACUUAUGGAUGGACCCGCGCCGUAUUAGCUAGUUGGUAAGGUAACGGCUUACCAAGGCGACGAUACGUAGCCGACCUGAGAGGGUGAUCGGCCACACUGGAACUGAGACACGGUCCAGACUCCUACGGGAGGCAGCAGAA
rnacentral:rRNA from 1 species